rnacentral:rRNA from 1 species
GACGAACGCUGGCGGCGUGCUUAACACAUGCAAGUCGAACGGAAAGGCCCUGCUUUUGUGGGGUGCUCGAGUGGCGAACGGGUGAGUAACACGUGAGUAACCUGCCCUUGACUUUGGGAUAACUUCAGGAAACUGGGGCUAAUACCGGAUAGGAGCUCCUGCUGCAUGGUGGGGGUUGGAAAGUUUCGGCGGUUGGGGAUGGACUCGCGGCUUAUCAGCUUGUUGGUGGGGUAGUGGCUUACCAAGGCUUUGACGGGUAGCCGGCCUGAGAGGGUGACCGACCACAUUGGGACUGAGAUACGGCCCAGACUCAUACGGGAGGCAGGAGUGGGGAAUAUUGCACAAUGGGCGGAAGCCUGAUGCAGCAACGCCGCGUGCGGGAUGACGGCCUUCGGGUUGUAAACCGCUUUCGCCUGUGACGAAGCGUGAGUGACGGUAAUGGGUAAAGAAGCACCGGCUAACUACGU